GGGGAAGCCUGGUGGGCUGCCGUCUAUGAGGUUGCACAGAGUCUGGACACAACUGAAGCAACUUAGCAGCAGCAGCAGCUUUUGUUAAUGAAAUCAACUCAUUUUCCCUAUAGAAUGUUACAUUCUGGAUUUGGCUGCUUGUAUCCUGGAGUAUUAUGUUGUUGUCAUAAAUUUAAGGCACUGUUUCCGUGUUCAGCUAGUUGGGUGUAGGCCUAGAGAAGGUCUGGAGUUAUACCCAGCAGGGUAAGUGAAUAUAAAAGAACUAGAGUUGCUUUUCAUAAGUUUCCCAGGUGGUACAGUGAUAAAGAAUCCACCUGCAAUGCAGGAGACUCGGGAGAUGUGGGUUCAAUCCCUGGAUCAGGAAGAUCCCCUGAAGGAGGAAAUGGCAACCCAUUUCAGUAUUCUUGCCUGAAAAAUACCACACGAUCAUAGAGCCAGACACUACUGAGUGACUGAGCACACACAGCUGCUUUUCAUAAUGAUGGAUCAAGGGAUCAAAGGCAGACAAGGGGAGAAUGAAGUGUUAUUCCCAGCACCCUCUAUGGCGCAGUCAACAGUCUUCUGAGUGGUGAAUAGAGCCUGGUUCUCUACUGGGACCCAGAAACUGACUCAAUAGGAAGCCUAAGGUGUCACGACUUGCCCAAGGUGACAUAGUUUCUUCCUACCUGCUCUCCUCAUCUCUCCCAGAAACCAUCUGUCAGCUGCAGUGGUCCCUAAUACCAGUUCCCUUCUCAAGGGGUACUUGUGGUCGCCAGUGGCUCCAGGAUCGCCUAGAGCAAGGGUGCUGCCAGAAGAAUCCAAGGACUCACUGCCCAUCUUCUGUUCCUGCCAUUUACUCUAAGGAUCUCCCAAUCACAUAAUCUAGUCCAGAGGUGGAUAAACUGCUCAAACCUAGCUGGGAGCUGGCCUGGGACUUGGCGUGUCUGUAGC